rnacentral:rRNA from 1 species
UACGAAGGGGGCUAGCGUUAUUCGGAAUCAUUGGGCGUAAAGGGCGCGUAGGCGGCUUGGCAAGUCAAAGGUGAAAUCCCUCGGCCUAACCGAGGAACUGCCUUUGAAACUGCUUGGCUUGAGGCCGGGAGAGGGUAGCGGAAUUCCCAGUGUAGCGGUGAAAUGCGUAGAUAUUGGGAGGAACACCAGUGGCGAAGGCGGCUACCUGGACCGGUUCUGACGCUGAGGCGCGAAAGCGUGGGGAGCAAACAGG